rnacentral:tRNA from 1 species
GGUCUCGUAGUGUAGCGGUUAACACGCCUGCCUGUCACGCAGGAGAUAGCGGGUUCGAUUCCCGUCGAGACCGCCA